UUUCUAAACUUUUCGGCGCCGAAAAGUUUCAGCUAGCCGAAAAACGAAAGCUGAAAACUGAACAGCCAAUCACAGCUUUCCAUUUGAUGCGCAAUUAAUUUUUGAUAUUAGGUCAACAUCAUCAAUGCCAAAUCUGUCUGCUGUCAUUCUUUCAAGAAGUCGUGUGUUCCUCGUGAUUUGUUUCGUGUUGUUGUUCAUAGUUUCUGGAAAAAAAUGCCUAAGCACCGAUAUAAUGGCUAGGCUUAUCAAUACAUGACAGACCCACCUACAAGUUUAGACCAUUGGGCGGGAGGUCGCCACUGAGGAUAAUGUUUUGGGAAAUUCUUGUGAUUCCAAAAUGUGUUGAGCGUUACUCGGUAAACGGUUAGGCGAUCGGGCUGACAUGAUUUCGUGCUAGGUUCAUCCAUAUCCAUAAACGAAUUGUUUUCAGGGCGAGCCUCAGUUGGUGACCGGAUAACACAAACCAAACUGAAUGCCACAGCGAACGCAUUAUACCAGUACUGAUUAUUCAUCAUUUCAGCUUAAAGGGUUGCCACUAUGUUAAUGAAUACACACUUGGAUUCAGACGACAUGGAAA